rfam:Rattus norvegicus strain BN/SsNHsdMCW Contig762, whole genome shotgun sequence.
CUUACCACACGCCAAGCAAGCAGGCACAGACUCCAACCAGACCUGUGGAUUAAAACAGAGAAAAGGGAAAAGGGUGAGGGGGGGGGCGCUUCGGGUGCAGCACCUCGGCGAGGCCCCGGACAGCUAAUAGGAGCUGCCUUGGAGGGUGGGGUUAGCGGAAGAUUCCUAGAAGAAGAAUCUACCCUGGGAUGUUUCUAUUUUUAAUUUUUACUCGAUUCCUAAAACAUCAAAGU